GCCCCUGUAAGCUAAUGGAUAGACUGCCGCGCUUCUAUCGCGGGUAUCUCGGUUCAAGUCCGAGCGGGGGCACCA
rnacentral:tRNA from 1 species